rnacentral:rRNA from 1 species
UACGUAGGGGGCAAGCGUUGUCCGGAAUCAUUGGGCGUAAAGAGCGUGUAGGCGGCCCGGUAAGUCCGCUGUGAAAGUCCAGGGCUCAACCCUGGGAUGCCGGUGGAUACUGUCGGGCUAGAGUGCGGUAGGGGAGACUGGAAUUCCUGGUGUAGCGGUGGAAUGCGCAGAUAUCAGGAGGAACACCGAUGGCGAAGGCAGGUCUCUGGGCCGCAACUGACGCUGAGGAGCGAAAGCAUGGGGAGCGAACAGG